CCUACGGGUGGCUGCAGUGGGGAAUAUUGGACAAUGGGGGCAACCCUGAUCCAGCCAUGCCGCGUGUGUGAAGAAGGCCCUCGGGUUGUAAAGCACUUUCAGUGAGGAAGAACACCUGGUGGUUAAUACCCAUCAGGAAAGACAUCACUCACAGAAGAAGCACCGGCUAACUCCGUGCCAGCAGCCGCGGUAAUACGGAGGGUGCGAGCGUUAAUCGGAAUUACUGGGCGUAAAGCGCGCGUAGGUGGCUUGAUAAGCCGGUUGUGAAAGCCCCGGGCUCAACCUGGGAACGGCAUCCGGAACUGUCAAGCUAGAGUGCAGGAGAGGAAGGUAGAAUUCCCGGUGUAGCGGUGAAAUGCGUAGAGAUCGGGAGGAAUACCAGUGGCGAAGGCGGCCUUCUGGACUGACACUGACACUGAGGUGCGAAAGCGUGGGUAGCAAACAGGAUUAGAUACCCGAGUAGUC
rnacentral:rRNA from 1 species